AGAUUAUUCUGCCUCUGUGCAGUGAAUACAGCCAGAGUAACCUUUUGUCUACAAUUAAAUAUUCUAGCAUAAAUAUAAAAGAAAAUCAGAGAUGGGAAAGAUUGACUCACGAGAGAUUGGAGAGCCGCAGAGAGAAGAAGCUGCCCAAGAAUGGAAAGGAAGAAAUAUAUCACAUCAUCUGUCUGUCCACAGGCUUUCCUUGGGGCUUAUGAAGAUUUCCUCAUGGCAGUGUUUCUUCUUCACCCCUUUGAAUUCAAAAGGAUGGCAUAGAUGUCAAAAAUA
rnacentral:lncRNA from 1 species